rnacentral:lncRNA from 1 species
UGACUUUUCCACACGGUUUCAUAGCAAUUCCAUCCUAUUUGAAAUAGGAUUUUGUAAGAAUGAAAGUUGGCCUCCCUUUUUUUAUUAUUGUAAAAAAAAGACGUAUGACACUUUUUCUUUCCUUCACUUCUGAACUAUUUCCUUUACUUUUGACUUGCAACUUCUAUCAUUUUGUCUCCACAUUUACUUGUUUCAUGCACCAUAUUCAAUCAAUGAGGCCAUGCUCAUAAUGUCCACGUGAGUGGUAUUCCACAAGAGGCAAAUUUUGUUUUGUACUCUUGUCAUUUUGUCUUCAUGUUUUGAUUGAAUGCAAAAUUUACAAAGACCAUAAUUUGCCAAAAAAAAAUAACAAAGACCAUAAUUAGUUGGGAAGCUGUUGCCUUCUUUUGUUCUUCACGUGAGCAAAUUUCCACUUGACUUGCAGAUCCCUUAUUGACUUUAAAACCUGGUGGUCUCCAUACCUAUUUCUUUCUUUUUCUUCUUGUUGCUGCUUUCAUAUUGUUUUGAGAAGAAACCACAUGAUUUACGUUGGAAGGAUGUGGUCUUUUAAAGAUGUCACGACAAACUUCACCUCUUCACCUUUUUAUUUGCUUGCUGGAGACCAUUUCCUCUACUUCCUAAUUUAGACAGAUUUUAAAAGAAACUUGGUCAGCAACCCCUUUUCUUCUUAACUCCAAGACGACGACGCGGGUUUGUUGUUGUUGUUUUUUUUUUUUUUUUUUUUUUUUUGCUGGAAGCAUCAUUCUUUUUUAUGCGACUUCCUUCUCCGACUUUGUGCCAAAUCCUUCGAGUACUCCUAAAACAGAGCUGCAACAACCAUUUCAACUUCAGACUGAGCUCCUAAAACGAAGCAGCAGCAACCAUUUCAAUUUCAGACUGAGCUCCUAAAACAGAGCAGUAGCAACCAUUUCAACUUCAGAUUGAGCUCCUAAAACGGAGCAGCAACAACCAUUUCAACUUCGGCAGCCACUGCGGUUGUUGUUCUCACGGUGGAGGACUUCGUUCAUGGCCACCUUCUUUUACGCCAUCGACGAGAAAAUGGAGCAUGCUGUGACGCUAGGCUAAAAGACAGCGUGGCUGCUGUGGUCGUUGGUGUUGUGUGAAGUGGUGGUGUUCGGCGGCGUCGUAGCGGCAAGUUGGGCAAAGAGGAAGGAGGACUGUAGCAAGGAUGGUUGCUGCUUCUUAAUGUAUUUAAAGGUGUCGAAAGACACGGUCACUAGGAAACUAAAGGUUGUCUUUGAGAGAUCGCAGGGACGAACUUGGAUCAUUUCAGUUGUUUGGGCUAGCUUUCUUUAGAGCCCCUACCUCUAUUUGUGCUUCGGGGAAUGGGAGAGAUUUGAAGAAGCAUAAUGCUUCCCCUUUUUCUGCAAAGUGGAGAGAAACAACCAAGAAAAAUAACCAAAAAAAAAAUGAUUUUAUACCUUUGAGUGUUUUGAAUGCUUGUUGCUUUCUUUGUUCUGUUUCAGUAUUUUUUCUUCGUUGUCUUCUCCUCUCAAUGUCUCCUUGAACUUCCGCAACACUUCACUCCUACUUUGAUUUCUCUCUUAAUUUAUGCAGGGUCUCUUCCUCUUUUUUGUUUCGUUCCCCCCUUUGCUUUGGUUUGAUGCCUUUUUAUAGGCGAAAGGUGGACAUGGCAGUUGAAGCUAGUGGGAUGCUAUUUUCCUGGGGUGUGGAGAUGCUGAGAGAAAGCCAUCACUUGAGUGGAGAACGUGGGGGUUUUUGGAGAGUUCUAGACACACAUGAUCUAUGUACUUGGUUGCCAUGUAGAUGACAAAACUCUAUCAGAUUUGUCAUAAUCCACGUACGUGUGGGUGUAGAAUAUAUUUUUUUUUAUUUUUUCAUUUUUCUCUUAAGUCUCCUUGUUUUUAAUAAGACUUGCUAAUAUAUUUUGUUUGUGAAAAUAUAUAGCUCAACAACCACAAUGAUGGAAAUGUGUUGAGCCAUUACACGA